CAGAAUGAAUAUGGAAACGCGUCAUGGUACUGAAGGGGUUAAUAUCUCCAGAUCUCUGUAGUAUUAUUUUUCCAAGCCAUAUAGAUAAUAUAAUCGGGUUCUCAUUAGUGUUUUGUACUCGAUGAUGUAGAAUUCGUAUGAAAAGUAUCACUAGAAUCAUCAGAACACCAUUGAAAGUUGAUAUUCACUACACUACAGUCUGUUUGAAAGUAGAUGAACUGAAACACUGAGACGUUUGAGAAUGAACCCCUAAAACGAAGCACUUGGUCUCGUAUGAUUCACUCUAUUCAUGUAUUAUAAUCUCAUACUAAUAUAUUUAAAAGCGUAGUGGAAGUCAUUGAUAUUUGUAUUUUAUUAUAAUCCUAAACAUCAAUAUUGUAACUUCACUAUAAUUCAUUUCGUAUUUGAUUUUCUUCUCACUUUUCAUGAACUCCCCCCUUGCCAGACCGCCGCUAGAUGGCUCUGCUGCGCCACGCCACGCCACGCCACGCCACAUCACAUCACCCUGCCUGGUCUGCCCUUCCACGUCCCUGCGUCGCCUGGUGUGUACGUGAGGUCAUUCCCCUCACUGGCGUCACUUCGCCCCUACAGCUGCUCAUCUGGACCAAUGGGACGCCAGGAGCAAGGUACAGCACCACCACCACCACCACCACCACCACCACCACUUCCUCCGCACUUAGGAAGCAGACACGUUCUUUCUCUCACAGCACGAAGAGUCUCAUAGGCACGCGCAGUCACAUGAGGGAAGACAAAUAGCUCAGGGACAGAAAUGACUGAGUUCGUGAGAUUACAGAAGUAGUUUUGGAGAUGACGUGACUUCCAUGACCAGUUGGAGGGUUCGUGGAGCGUUGGAUGUGACCCCGAACUACCCCCACUACCCCGCUAGCAGUGACCUAAGCUGAAGGAUGACGAUGAUGGUGGUGGCAGUCUGCUGAACGCUGCAAAGGAGUCUCUCUGAGCUCAAGAGGACUAGUAACUGUACCAAGAAACAAUACUUGGUGUUCUCAAGCCUCACCCUGGCUGUAUCUGAAAUCUUUCAACUCAUGAAUUCAGAGAGAGAGAAGUUUAUCAUGGAGUAAAGAAAUACAAGCUGCUAUUUGGUUAGCUUAGAGCAGGAAUGGACAAGCAUAUAUUGCCAACCAAAAGCCUGGUUCAGGAGCCACCUGUAGCAUCGAGAUCAAAGAGCCAAAGAUUGUUCCAGUGUGAUUGGACUUGAAGAUCAUCUCUGAAAGCAAGAGAGAGAGAGAGAGAGAGAGAGAAUCAUCUUCGUCGUCAUCUUCAUCACCAUAUUUGAGUGGUGUGGGAGUUAUAGCAAAGGGACAUGAGCAAAGUUGUUCAGAUCAGUAACUAUAACAGAAUCAGAAAUAACGGGUUUAAGCUUAUGAAGUUCAGGUUUAGGAAAGAAAUGCGAAGGGACUAGUUCUCAAAUAGUGGUUGAUGACUGGAACAGCCUCAGUAAUCAGACUCUUAAUGCUGAUUCAGUAGGGAGCUUUGAUUUGAAAGAGUAGAUAAAUUGUUGAAUGAGGGAUGAUAUAGAUGGCAUUAAGUAACUUUGCUCUUCCAGCUUCCCUUAUUUUCGAACUUGUCUCUCCAGCAUCCUUGAAACACUACAUCAACUGCUGUUGUCCUCUGCAUAACUCCUGUUUGAGUAAAAAAAAGGGAGAUAGAUAGCCAGCCUUGUAUAAUGUGAGCAUCUUACAUUUCUUGCUUAUAGUCAUUUUGGAUAUGUUGAGAGGGUGGGGAAAAGCAUAAUAACCUUGUCUGACACACAAGUCAUGGCAUCAUGACUCUCCACACAUACCAUAUGCUUAUACUGUGGCUGCCCAGAAAGAACACUGCCAUUGGGAGAGACAGCACCAAUCAAAAAAUGUUGUGUUGGUAUCUGAUGCUGAGAGGAAGGAUGCUAUACUGUCGACAAGACAGCCUGUAGUAGAAAACAGCUUUGCACUUCUGCAAGCAGACUGUUUAGACUAUUGUAAGGUCCCCCACCUCCUUGCUUGCUUUUCAGAAUGUGAGCCUUUUGUCCCACACCAUUCAUCGUCACUUGGAGAUGUUGGACAAAAGGUACGACUCACCCAAGACCUGUAACUUUUGCACUGAUGAGAAAUUUCAAAUUGCAAGUUACAUUUCAAUUCAUGUUUGAUUGAGAUUACAACUGAUCGGUAUAUUUGAUACUUUGAUUAAUUUCUCUAUCAGAUACCUAAUUUUGUGGAAUAUUUCUAAACAAACAAAUUGUUGGAUUACUCACAAAUAUAUCCACAAUGACUUGGAUGAAGAGUCAAGCCAUAAAGAGCACCCCAAGCCUUUCCUCAACUGUGCUCCCAUUGCCCCAUUCAAGAUGCAGAGAUCAGCUACUACACUUAUGUUGUUGGCACUACAGUAUUCAUCUCCAUCUUUUUAUGCCUCACAUACUCGUAUCCCCAACAUACAAGGAAGCUAAUAAUACUCAAUUUGGGAAAUCAAGAGGCAUAUUUUAGGUCCAUUUCUUUUGGGUUUUGCAUUCAUCCCAUAUAUGACACAAGACAUGAAUAGAGCCAAGUCUCAAGAUCUUGCUACCUGGCAACAAGGCAGUCAUUAAUUACUCCAUCUCGUAAAGGCUAGUUCUCUGGAUUUGACAGGUAGUCAUUAUUCUAUCUCUUAAAGGCUAGUUCUAUGGAUAAGUAUAGAUAGUUAAAUAAAUGUACACAACCUGAUUUAUUUAAGAAAUUCAGUGGUUGCCCUCAACCUGCACACUGCAAAGUAGUCCUGGUUUCUUUUUUAUACAAUUUAAUGAUAUUAGCAUAGACAACCUUAAUGAUAAUUUCUAAAAUACAUAUCACAUUAUAAUGCCACCUCCUUUCACCUACAGUGACAUCCAGGACUUACAUUAGCAAUGCUACCUCCAACAAUUCCCUCCUGCUUAUCAAAUAUUUUCAAACAUUCAUCAUUGUCUCUAUGAUCACUACUAAAAUCUCAUGAUAAACUUUUUCAGAUCUCUAUACUAAUGAAUACUGAAUGUCACUACUGAUCUAGCAACAAGCCACCACUUGCUUGCUCUUGAUAGGGAAUGAAUGAUGAAUCCACUUACUUGCCUGUUAUUUUCAAUCUAUAAUUAGUAUUGAAAAUUAUGCACAAGAAUUAAUUACUAACCA